rnacentral:rRNA from 1 species
GAUGAACGCUAGCUACAGGCUUAACACAUGCAAGUCGAGGGGCAGCAUGACGAUAGCUUGCUAUUGUCGAUGGCGACCGGCGCACGGGUGAGUAACGCGUAUCCAACCUUCCCGUUGCUAGGGGAUAACCUUGCGAAAGUAAGACUAAUACCCUAUGAAGUUCUUCGCAGGCAUCUAAAGAGAACGAAAGAUUUAUCGGCAACGGAUGGGGAUGCGUCUGAUUAGGUUGUUGGCGGGGUAACGGCCCACCAAGCCCACGAUCAGUAGGGGUUCUGAGAGGAAGGUCCCCCACAUUGGAACUGAGACACGGUCCAAACUCCUACGGGAGGCAGCAGUGAGGAAUAUUGGUCAAUGGACGGAAGUCUGAACCAGCCAAGUAGCGUGCAGGAUGACGGCCCUAUGGGGUUGUAAACGUGCUUUUAUGUGGGAGCAAAGGCAGUCACGGGUGACUGAAAGGAGAGUACCUGAAGAAAAAGCA